GACAGAAUGGUGUAGUGGUUUGAGCAUUGGACUACGACUUUGGAGACUCGGGUUCAAAUCCCCACUCAGUCA